rnacentral:rRNA from 1 species
GACAGAGGGUGCUAGCGUUGUUCGGAAUUACUGGGCGUAAAGCGCGCGUAGGUGGCUUAGUGUGUCUGGUGUGAAAGCCCUUGGCUCAACCAAGGAAGUGCGCCAGAAACUGCUUAGCUCGAGGUUGGGAGAGGAUGGUAGAAUUCUCAGUGUAGAGGUGAAAUUCGUAGAUACUGGGAGGAACACCGGUGGCGAAGGCGACCAUCUGGACCAAUUCUGACACUGAUGUGCGAAAGCGUGGGUAGCAAACAGG